rfam:Schistosoma mattheei strain Denwood, Zambia genome assembly, scaffold: SMTD_scaffold0023238
GCUGAGAUUUCGUCACACACCAGUCCACAAGGGCUGAUGAGACUUCCAAGAUAAGUGAAGCG